ACAAAUCUGCACUUUGAUCACACACCCACAGCGACCCAGAUCUUUAAAUUCAGCAAUUCUUUCUCAGGUUUCAGCAAGGCAUUGGCAGCCUGAGCUAUUUUGGGACACUUUCUCUGCUGUGGAUGCCACUUUCGGAAUACGCCAGGAACAUGCUAAGGACCUGGAGCUCUCUACCCUGGACCCGUUUUCGGGUUUGCUUGCUCUCUCUCUCUCUUUCUCUGGGCUAAUCGUUUAGAGGACAGUCGCUCCUGCCAACCUAAUCCCAUGAGCCUGACUACCUUGCCGGGCCACAGGCUCAAAGAGGCAGUGUGGCUGCCAGCACCCUCACGGGAAGGGGCACGGAGGCACCAGGCAGUCUGGCAGGAUGAGAGACAUCCUGGGGGUGGUCUGAGUUUGGAUGUGGGCUGAGAAGACAAAGCAGGGGGCUUUCGGGGGACAAGAUUUUCCAAACAUCUUAUUCUUAGGAUCAUCACUUCCUAAUCUGAUGCAACUGACUCGGCAGGCAUUCGGGAGCCUGUAAGCUCCAUUUUCCUGUUCCAAAUUCUUCUGCACCUCACCAGGAGUCCUCGCCUUGACCGUAAUCAACUUGGGAUUCUCCUCAAAGUACUUAGAAAGGAAGAGGAAGACGGUGACUACACUGACAUGAUGGGCACUCACCCAAGCUCCAGGUAUGAAGCCUGCUCCUCUGGAAUUACUCUAGCUCAACCCCUCCUGAAACUAAACAUGAUCUAAGAACUCAGCAGAGCCAUCUCUAUUUUGCUGGACGACAGCAUGUGAGAUUUCUAUUUAGCCCUCUGCUUUUUGGAUCUACAGCAGUGGAGAGUCCCCUGAGAUCCUCUGUGGGCAUAUUCAGUUCACCUACGUACAUGAGAUCUGAUUUCAAGAUAAAAUAUUUUAAAAAACACUUCUGAGCUGCUACUUCUCAAAUAUUGUGGUUAAAAGCAGUGUUGAUGUUCUCGUCAUUCUUUUAUGCAAUCAAAUAGGUAAUCAGAGUUAUUAAAAUAUAUGUAUAUAUUUCAAUGCAAUUAAAUAUUAUUUUUACUUUGAAAUUUUAAAAA